UACGUAGGGUGCAAGCGUUGUCCGGAUUUAUUGGGCGUAAAGAGCUCGUAGGCGGCUCAGUAAGUCGGGUGUGAAACCUCCAGGCUCAACCUGGAGACGCCACCUGAUACUGCUGUGGCUAGAGUCCGGUAGGGGAGCGUGGAAUUCCUGGUGUAGCGGUGAAAUGCGCAGAUAUCAGGAGGAACACCAGCGGCGAAGGCGGCGCUCUGGGCCGGAACUGACGCUGAGGAGCGAAAGCGUGGGUAGCAAACAGG
rnacentral:rRNA from 1 species